rnacentral:rRNA from 1 species
AAAGUUACUCAAGCGCACACAAAGAAUGCCUUGACGCAAUAUACCGAUGAAGGACGCGAUGAGCUGCGAAAAGCUCCGGGGAACAGCCACAUAUGUUUUGAUCCGGAGAUGUCCGAAUGGGGAAACCCGGCUAGAGUCAUGUCUAGUCACACGUAUCUGAAUAUAUAGGAUACGGAGUAGGUAACCGCCUGAACUGAAACAUCUUAGUAGGGCGAGGAAGAGAAAUUAAACAAAGAUUCCGUUAGUAGUGGCGAGCGAAUGCGGAAUAGCCCAAACCUUAUUCAUUUUUGCCUAGUAAUUUAUCGGUGAUUUAUCACUGCUGAUGCGCUGGCAAAUAAGUUGGUAGACGAAUAUGAAUACAGGGGUUGUGACAUUGCAAACAACCUUGUGUGAGGUUCCGAUUUAUCGGGGCUCCACACUUGGCGGCAGGUGCUACCAGUAGCCUGCAUAAGGUUAGAAAUUGGUUAGGCGAGCAGAAGCAGUUGGAAAGCUGCACCAGAGACGGUGAUAGUCCGGUACGCCAAGUUUAACCAACCUUAUAUUUGCAAAUCAUGAGAUAAGCAUUCACUUCGGUGAAGGUUUGUCUUAUGUGUUGUCGAGUAGGACGGGACACGUGAAACCCUGUCUGAAUCCGGGAGGUCCACCUUCCAAGGCUAAAUAUAUAUUGCGAUCGAUAGAGAACAAGUACCGUGAGGGAAAGGUUAAAAGAACCCCGGAAGGGGAGUGAAAUAGAUCCUGAAAUUGUGUGCGUACAAGGAGUCGGAGCCCGGCAACGGGUGACGGCGUGCUUUUUGUAGAACGAUCCAACGAGUUAUUUGCAUGUGCAAGCUUAAGUCAUUUGACGGAGGCAUAGCGAAAGCGAGUCUGAAUAGGGCGCACAAGUACAUGUGAAUAGACCCGAAACCGGGUGACCUAACCAUGAGCAGGUUGAAGCGUCGGUAAAACGACGUGGAGGACCGAACCGUAGCGAGUUGCAACACGCCCGGAUGACUUGUGGUUAGAGGUGAAAUGCCAAUCGAACUCGGAGAUAGCUGGUUCUCCUCGAAAUAGCUUUAGGGCUAGCGUGACGUGGUAGCAGAUAGGGGUAGAGCUCUGUUUCGGACUGGGGGGAGCAAUCUUACCCACCCUUGACAAACUACGAAUACUAUCUGUGGAAUCGUUGCAGUUAGAACGGCGGGGCUAAGCUCGUCGCUCAAAAGGGAAACAGCCCAGAUCAUCAUCUAAGGUCCCUAAAUAUACACUAAGUGGGAAACGAGGUGGGGUUUCUUAAACAAUGAGGAUGUUGGCUUAGAAGCAGCCAUUCAUUUAAAGAGUGCGUAACAGCUCACUCAUCAAGAGACCCUGCGCGGAAAAUGUAACGGGGCUAAGUGUAUUACCGAAGAUAUGAAUUGUCACUUUUGUGGCAGUGGUAGAGGAGCGUUCCUCUCUGCGUUGAAGUUGAACCGUGAGGUUUGGUGGAGCGUGAGGAAGUGAGAAUGUUGGAAUGAGUAACCAUAAGGCAGGUGAGAAUCCUGCCCGCCGAAAGAGCAAGGUUUCCUGGGCCACGGUAAUCGUCCCAGGGUUAGUCGGUCCUAAGUCGAGGCGAGUAGCGUAGACGAUGGACAACAGGUUAAUAUUCCUGUACUGGUGUGAAAUUGUUAGCUGUGCGCGGCAUAGUAGCUGGAGCGGAUUCAUGGUUAUAUCCGUCUAAGUAGCAGAAAUGGCUACGAAUGAAACGGCCUUUAGGCUGAAUUCUGGUGAAGGUGCUGACUAGAAAAGCAAACUAACGCGUGUUUCAUGCCAUCCGUACCGCAAACCGACACAGGUGCUCAGGUCGAGAAGACCAAGGCGUACGAGUGAUUCUUCGUUAAGGAACUCGGCAAACAAGCGACCGUAACUUCGGGAUAAGGUCUGCCCCGUCACAGUGUCUAAGACACCGUGACAGCCGUAGUUUUCUUUCGAAAGAUAGGAAAUACGAGUAACAACUGUUAGCGAUAACAGAUGUCUGAGAAGACAAUUACGAAAUAAUUUACCUCUCUUAGUUUGAGAAAGAAAACUCCAAGGCGAGUCCGGAAACAUUGUCGUAGAUGAUGUGACGGGGCCGCAGCUAAGGAGCCCAUGCAACUGUUUACCAAAAACAUAGGUCUGUGCUAACACGAAAGUGGAUGUAUACGGGCUGACGCCUGCCCGGUGCUGGAAGGUUAAGGGGAGAAGUGAGAGCUUUGAACUGAAGCCCCAGUGAACGGCGGCGGUAACUAUAACCGUCCUAAGGUAGCGAAAUUCCUUGUCAGGUAAGUUCUGACCCGCACGAAUGGCGUAAUGAUAUGGGUACUGUCUCAACGAAGAGCUCGGUGAAAGUGCAUUGACGGUAAAGAUGCCGUCUGUCCGCAGCAGGACGAAAAGACCCCGUGCAGCUUUACUACAGCUUGGCAUUGAGCCGGGUUAUAACAUGUGUAGAAUAGGUGAGAGACUUUGAAGCUUGGGCGCUAGCUCAGGUGGAGUCAUCAGUGAAAUAUCACCCUUGUUAUGAUCUUGUUCUUACCUGGACCGAAAUUUGCUCUGCAAAUUACGGUCAUGUAGCAAUUAGCAUGUGACAUGUGACAUAGAUGUAACAAUUUUCAUGUAUCAGAUAAGCCCAGACGUUGGGCCAAAUGAUACAUGUUAUCUGAUACAUCUCUGAGACAUGAAACAUGUGACAUGCCACAUGAGCCGAAAUUUGAAGGUUAAAUUCCGGUUCGGGGACCGUGUCUGGUGGGUAGUUUAACUGGGGCGGUUGCCUCCUAAAGAGUAUCGGAGGCGUUCAAAGGUUAGCUAGGUUCGGAUGGAAAUCGAAUCGAUAGUGUAUACGCAUAAGCUAGCUUGACUGUGAGGCCUACAAGCCGAGCAGGGACGAAAGUCGGAGUAAGUUUUCCGCUGUCAGUACAUUUGUACAAGAGUGUGGUAUCGGCAGCGCUUUCGGAUAAAAGUUACGCCGGGGAUAACAGGCUUAUAGCAUCCAAUAGUUCACAUAGACGAUGCUGUUUGGCACCUCGAUGUCGGCUCAUCUCAUCCUGGGGCUGGAGCAGGUCCCAAGGGUCCGGCUGUUCGCCGGUUAAAGAGGUACGUGAGCUGGGUUCAGAACGUCGUGAGACAGUUCGGUUUAUAUCCGCUGUGGACGCAAGGAAAUUUGAGAGGAUCUACCCCUAGUACGAGAGGACCGGGGCGGACGCACCGCUGGUGUAUCAGUUGUUCUACCAAGGGCAUUGCUGAGUAGCUAUCGUGCGGAAUAGAUAAGCGCUGAAAGCAUAUUAAGCGCGAAACUAGCCUCAAGAUUAGAUUUCCCUAUGAUCCCCCAGAAAGACUAUCUGGUUGAUAGGCGCAAGAUGGAAGUAUGGCAACAUAUGUAGUCGAAGCGUACUAAUAGGGACAUUGACUU